rnacentral:rRNA from 1 species
GACGAACCGAGCGAACGUUAUUCGGAAUCACUGGACUUAAAGGGCGCGUAGGCGGACUGCCAAGUCAGGGGUGAAAGCCCGUGGCUCAACCGCGGAAGUGCCUUUGAUACUGGCGGUCUCGAGGGAGGUAGGGGCGUGCGGAACUUCCGGUGGAGCGGUGAAAUGCGUAGAUAUCGGAAGGAACACCGGUGGCGAAAGCGGCUCACUGGACCGUCUCUGACGCUGAGGUGCGAAAGCCAGGGUAGCGAACGGG